CGCGGCCUAUCAGCUUGUUGGUGGGGUAACGGCCCACCAAGGCGACGACGGGUAGCUGGCGUGAGAGCGUGGUCAGCCACACUGGGACUGAGACACGGCCCAGACUCCUACGGGAGGCAGCAGUGGGGAAUCUUGCGCAAUGGGCGAAAGCCUGACGCAGCGACGCCGCGUGGGGGACGAAGGCCUUCGGGUUGUAAACCCCUUUCAGCGGGGACGAAGCGAAAGUGACGGUACCUGCAGAAGAAGCCCCGGCUAACUACGUGCCAGCAGCCGCGGUAAGACGUAGGGGGCGAGCGUUGUCCGGAAUUAUUGGGCGUAAAGCGCGCGCAGGCGGCCCGGUAAGUCGGUUGUGAAAACCCGGGGCUCAACCCCGGGCCUGCUGCCGAUACUGCCGGGCUCGAGGCAGGUAGGGGAGAGUGGAAUUCCCGGUGUAGCGGUGAAAUGCGCAGAUAUCGGGAGGAACACCGGUGGCGAAGGCGGCUCUCUGGGCCUGUCCUGACGCUCAGGCGCGAAAGCUGGGGGAGCAAACAGGAUUAGAUACCCUGGUAGUCCCAGCCGUAAACGAUGGGUGCUAGGUGUGGGGAGCAUCAACCCUCUCCGUGCCGGAGCUAACGCAUUAAGCACCCCGCCUGGGGAGUACGG
rnacentral:rRNA from 1 species